GUCCACGCCCUAAACUAUGUCAACUGGUUGUCGGGGAAGCAAUUCCUUGGUAACGAAGCUAACGCGUGAAGUUGACCGCCUGGGGAGUACGGCCGCAAGGUUAAAACUCAAAGGAAUUGACGGGGACCCGCACAAGCGGUGGAUUAUGUGGAUUAAUUCGAUGCAACGCGAAAAACCUUACCUACCCUUGACAUGUACGGAAGCCCGCAGAGAUGUGGGUGUGCCCGAAAGGGAACCGUAACACAGGUGCUGCAUGGCUGUCGU
rnacentral:rRNA from 1 species